rnacentral:rRNA from 1 species
GAUGAACGCUGGCGGCGUGCCUAAUACAUGCAAGUCGAGCGAAUGGAUUAAGAGCUUGCUCUUAUGAAGUUAGCGGCGGACGGGUGAGUAACACGUGGGUAACCUGCCCAUAAGACUGGGAUAACUCCGGGAAACCGGGGCUAAUACCGGAUAACAUUUUGAACCGCAUGGUUCGAAAUUGAAAGGCGGCUUCGGCUGUCACUUAUGGAUGGACCCGCGUCGCAUUAGCUAGUUGGUGAGGUAACGGCUCACCAAGGCAACGAUGCGUAGCCGACAUGAGAGGGUGACCGGCCACACUGGGACUGGGACACGGCCCAGACUCCUACGGGAGGCAGCAGUAGGGAAGCUUCCGCAAUGGACGAAAGUCUGACGGAGCAACGCCGCGUGAGUGAUGAAGGCUUUCGGGUCGUAAAACUCUGUUGUUAGGGAAGAACAAGUGCUAGUUGAAUAAGCUGGCACCUUGACGGUACCUAACCAGAAAGCCACGGCUAACUACGUGCCAGCAGCCGCAGUAA